GAUGAACGCUGGCGGCGUGCCUAAUACAUGCAAGUCGAACGCAUAGCGAAAGGUGCUUGCACCUUUCAAGUGAGUGGCGAACGGGUGAGUAACACGUGGACAACCUGCCUCAAGGCUGGGGAUAACAUUUGGAAACAGAUGCUAAUACCGAAUAAAACUUAGUGUCGCAUGACACAAAGUUAAAAGGCGCUUCGGCGUCACCUAGAGAUGGAUCCGCGGUGCAUUAGUUAGUUGGUGGGGUAAAGGCCUACCAAGACAAUGAUGCAUAGCCGAGUUGAGAGACUGGUCGGCCACAUUGGGACUGAGACACGGCCCAAACUCCUACGGGAGGCUGCAGUAGGGAAUCUUCCACAAUGGGCGAAAGCCUGAUGGAGCAACGCCGCGUGUGUGAUGAAGGCUUUCGGGUCGUAAAGCACUGUUGUAUGGGAAGAACAGCUAGAAUAGGAAAUGAUUUUAGUUUGACGGUACCAUACCAGAAAGGGACGGCUAAAUACGUG
rnacentral:rRNA from 1 species